CUCUUCUGAUCUGGUGGAUCGAUGUCUUUGUGUGAAUUAGUAGCUCUGCGCAUAUCGUGGACUUACCAGGCAUGUCGAGUACACUGGCGCCUGAAGGGUAGCUUAUGGCCCGACAUAACUUUGGUGCUCACAUUGCAACUUACAUGUCAGUUUCAUCGCCACGAAGUGCACACUAUGGAGCAAUGAUGUGCAUAUCUACAGACAAGUGCAACGCUUGAAUAUAGCUAGCAGUUAUAAGUGCACAUAUGUAAAAUUAAUCACAGUGAUAUAAUAAAUAGGAUAGGCAACUCUGCAA
rnacentral:lncRNA from 1 species